UAAACUCAAGCACAUCAAUUCCAAAAGACAUCUCAAGGACCAAUCUCUCCCUCCUUGUGAGUCUCGAUGACGACGUUGGACCUGGGGUAGGCAACGCAGGUCAGCACGUAGCCCUCCUUCAUCUGGUCGUCGUCGAGCAUGCUGCCGUCGGACUGGUCCACCUCGCCGCCCACCAUCUUCCCGACGCAGGUCACGCACGAUCCCGCCCGGCACGAGUACGGCAUGUCGAUGCCCUGCUCCUCCGCCUCGUCCAGGAUGUACCUGUCGUCCGGGCAGUCGAACACCACCUCUCCGUCCGGCGUUAUCAGCUUCACGUUGAAGACUGCCAUGGCUGUCACUCGCCCCCGGCUGGACUCGAGCCCGAAGAGCGCCCGCCCGGUGCGCGGCAGGGCCCGCAGGCUCACGGUGCCCGGCACGCCGUUGUGGCGCCGGGCGAAGGGCGUGCCCAGGGCCGCGCUCAACAGAGCUGUGCUCGCUCCGGCUGCAGCCAUUGGAAGCAGCAAGAGAAUUGUUUCUGUGCCUGUGUGAGGGAGGGAGGGAAGACGGAGAGAUAUGGCUCAGCAGAGGGGGUUUUGGAGUCGGAUGACCGGAGAGAGAGG
rnacentral:lncRNA from 1 species